UAGAGAGAGACAUGCGCGCAUAUCAAUAAGCGGAGGAAAAGAAACUAACAAGGAUUCCCUUAGUAACGGCGAGUGAAGCGGGAAGAGCUCAAAUUUGAAAUCUUCAAGGUUCUACCUUGACGAAUUGUAGUUUAUAGAAGUGUUUUCUGUUAGUGGAGUGGCAAAAGUUCUUUGGAAUAGGACAUCAUAGAGGGUGAGAAUCCCGUAUUUGGUCAUUCCUCCUAGCGUUGUGAUACACUUUCAACGAGUCGGAUUGUUUGGGAAUGCAGUCCAAAAUGGGUGGUAAAUUUCAUCUAAAGCUAAAUAUUGGCGAGAGACCGAUAGCGAACAAGUACCGUGAGGGAAAGAUGAAAAGAACUUUGAAAAGAGAGUUAAACAGUACGUGAAAUUGUCAAAAGGGAAGCGUUUGACACCAGUGUUGUUUUUCCGAAAAUCAAUUACGAAUGUUUUGUUUUUGAGGAGUUAUGACUUCAUCGGCUUGCUCCUUUCUUUACUGAAACUUUCUUAAUGCACUUUUCGGUUAACAAGUCAACAUCAAUUUCUUUUGUUGUAAAAGGGUAUGAGGAAGGUGGCUUUCUUUUCGGAGAAAGUGUUUAUAGCCUUGUGCCUCUGCAAUCGGAGAGAUUGAGGUCUGCAGCGUAGAUCCUUCGGGGUUAGAUACGUUUGUGCUAAGUUAUAGCUUUUUCAUAGACAACUUGUUGACUAUAGUUAAGUCAUGUAGCUUACUCGCUUUGCGCUAUUUUACCUACGCUUAGGAUGUUGAUAGUCACAGCGUGUAC
rnacentral:rRNA from 1 species